rnacentral:rRNA from 1 species
ACGCUGGCGGCGUGCUUAACACAUGCAAGUCGAACGAAGCACUUUAUUUGAUUUCCUUCGGGACUGAUUAUUUUGUGACUGAGUGGCGGACGGGUGAGUAACGCGUGGGUAACCUGCCUUGUACAGGGGGAUAACAGUUGGAAACGGCUGCUAAUACCGCAUAAGCGCACAGCAUCGCAUGAUGCAGUGUGAAAAACUCCGGUGGUAUAAGAUGGACCCGCGUUGGAUUAGCUAGUUGGUGAGGUAACGGCCCACCAAGGCGACGAUCCAUAGCCGACCUGAGAGGGUGACCGGCCACAUUGGGACUGAGACACGGCCCAAACUCCUACGGGAGGCAGCAGUGGGGAAUAUUGCACAAUGGGCGAAAGCCUGAUGCAGCGACGCCGCGUGAGCGAAGAAGUAUUUCGGUAUGUAAAGCUCUAUCAGCAGGGAAGAUAAUGACGGUACCUGACUAAGAAGCACCGGCUAAAUACGUGCCAGCAGCCGCGGUAAUACGUAUGGUGCAAGCGUUAUCCGGAUUUACUGGGUGUAAAGGGAGCGCAGGCGGUGCGGCAAGUCUGAUGUGAAAGCCCGGGGCUCAACCCCGGUACUGCAUUGGAAACUGUCGUACUAGAGUGUCGGAGGGGUAAGCGGAAUUCCUAGUGUAGCGGUGAAAUGCGUAGAUAUUAGGAGGAACACCAGUGGCGAAGGCGGCUUACUGGACGAUAACUGACGCUGAGGCUCGAAAGCGUGGGGAGCAAACAGGAUUAGAUACCCUGGUAGUCCACGCC